GAACGCUAGCGACAGGCCUAACACAUGCAAGUCGAGGGGCAGCACAAGGAGCAAUCUGAGGUGGCGACCGGCGCACGGGUGAGUAACACGUAUGCAACCUGCCUGUAAGCGGGGAAUAACCCGUUGAAAGACGGACUAAUACCGCAUAAUACUAAAUUACUGCAUGGUAAUUUAUUUAAACAUUUAUGGCUUACAGAUGGGCAUGCGCAUGAUUAGCUAGUUGGAGAGGUAACGGCUCCCCAAGGCAACGAUCAUUAGGGGUUCUGAGAGGAAGGUCCCCCACACUGGUACUGAGACACGGACCAGACUCCUACGGGAGGCAGCAGUGAGGAAUAUUGGUCAAUGGACGAGAGUCUGAACCAGCCAAGUCGCGUGCAGGAAGAAUGUCCUAUGGAUUGUAAACUGCUUUUGCAGGGGAAUAAAGUGCAUCACGUGUGAUGUUUUGUAUGUACUCUGCGAAUAAGGAUCGGCUAACUCCGUGCCAGCAGCUGC
rnacentral:rRNA from 1 species